rnacentral:rRNA from 1 species
UGGCCUUGACAUACUAAGAACUUUCCAGAGAUGGAUUGGUGCCUUCGGGAACUUAGAUACAGGUGCUGCACGGCUGUCGUCAGCUCGUGUCGUGAGAUGUUGGGUUAAGUCCCGNAACGAGCGCAACCCUUUUCCUUAUUUGCCAGCGGGUCAUGCCGGGAACUUUAAGGAUACUGCCAGUGACAAACUGGAGGAAGGCGGGGACGACGUCAAGUCAUCAUGGCCCUUACGGCCAGGGCUACACACGUGCUACAAUGGUCGGUACAAAGGGUUGCUACCUCGCGAGAGGAUGCUAAUCUCAAAAAGCCGAUCGUAGUCCGGAUCGCAGUCUGCAACUCGACUGCGUGAAGUCGGAAUCGCUAGUAAUCGCGGAUCAGAAUGCCGCGGUGAAUACGUUCCCGGGCCUUGUACACACCGCCCGUCACACCAUGGGAGUUUGUUGCACCAGAAGUAGGUAGUCUAACCGCAAGGAGGACGCUUACCACGGUGUGGCCGAUGACUGGGGUGAAGUCGUAACAAGGUAGGCGUAGAUGA